CUACUAAUAACCUCUACUCGAAUUGCCACAACGACCCUCUUAGGAACGAGUCGUGAUACGAGUGGUGGUGGUGGUGGUGGUGGUGGUGAUGGUGUUCAACUUUCUCCAUAUUUGUAAUCUUUCUCUUAUAUUUCAUGUAUCUACUUUCUUUUCUUUCUUUCUUUCUUUCUUUUGAUGUUAUUUCUACCAAGUCCUUCUGCAUGUUUCUUUCUUUUUUCUUUCUUUCUUUUCUUUUCUGUUAUUUUGACGAGGUCCAUCUGCAUGUAUAUUCACUUUCCUUUCUCAUUCUCCUCCUCCUCCAGCAGUCCUCUCCUAGACUCUCCUCCCUCUCAGACCUCCACAUUAUUCUCACUCCUGCUGCCUCCUUCACACCUUCUCAACCCACACCCUCCUGUUUACCAAGCCACACCCUCCCAUUUACCAAUCCUCACCUCAUCCUCUUUCUUACGUUCCCUCCUCCACACGUCAGCUCACAUCCACUCAUUUACUUUCUUUCACAUCUUUUUUUCACGUGCUUAUCAAUCCUCACCUCGCAUUUAUUUUACAGCCCCUUCUUCACACCAUCUCAAUUCACAUCCACCCACUUCCCAGUUCUUCCCUCACCUAUCUCUUACGUUCUCCCACCUCGCCUCCAACAGAUAAUCGGUACCAGGGGAAAAAGUUCGAUCGGGCGCAACAGCUGAAGUACAAGAAAGGACACGACACAAUACAGGACCUCAAGGACAUCCCACGAACCAACCUCACCCUCGUCAAACGGAGAAUGUAGAGGACACCGCGCUUGAUGAGAGUUGUGAUGUUGGCAUGGCAGGGUUGUGCUGCUGGGGUUCCAAGGGCGUCGAUGUGGGCCACUGAAGCAGAAACACUUCAAGCAAUAAACUGAUGUUACGAUAGUGGUUCGCUGCAUAUUCGGAUUCCCCAACUGUCACCAACAUCUAAGCUUGAUGCUCCUCCUCCUCCUCCUCCUCCUGCUGCUGCUGCUGCUGCUGCUCCUGCUCCUGCUCCUCAUCACUACAAUCAUCAGCCUCAUCCUCAUCAUGAGCGUCAGUCUCUCUGAGUACACAGCAUGACAAAAGCUUGCCUCGGCCUUCUCCUCUCCUCUGUGUCGGCUGCCUACACUUUUUUCUCUGGAUCUCUGUAUUGAAGUCACACAGUGUAAGGGUCUUUUCAGUGCUUCUUCCACAGAUUAAUAAAAUCACCACACAAUAUUCUUUUUCUCACUAUCUCAUACACAUAUUAAGUUGAAGUGACACAGAAAUUUAAGUAUAAGCUCUCUCAGUCACCUCACCACCUCAUAAGAUUAAAAACAACACGAUUUAACAACCAGCAGGCCAGGCUCAAGCAGCUGCAGUGGUCCUACGCAGCUGCAAUGGGCCUCAAGCAGCUGCAAGGAGCCCAUUAAUGGUCCUAUGCAUCUGCAAAGAGCCUAUCAACAGGUGCAGUGGGUCUAAGCAGCUACAAUGGACCUACCAACGGGCUCAAGCAGCUGCAGUGAUCCUAAGCUGCUGCACUGGUCCUUGGCAACUGUGUUCCUAAGCAGCUGCAAUGGUCCUAAGCAGCUGCAGUG